GUGCUCGCUUUCGCAGCACACAGUCUAAAAUUGGAACGACGCAGAGAAGGUUAGCGUGGCCCCUGUGUGAGGAUGGAGGAUGGCACGCAUAUUUGUGAAGUGUUCCAUAUUUAG
ensembl:snRNA U6 U6 spliceosomal RNA